UUUUUUUCGCAAAUGAACCCAUGAAAAAAAUUAUUUUUAAAAAUAGCCCCAGUAAAUUUAUAUUUGCAAAAAUAGCCCUGACCCUACCACGCAUGCGCCAUAUCAGCGUCAUGCAGACUGGGCUUGGGCCAAUCAGAUAAGUUAAACACGGUGAACCAUUCACCGUGUCCAAACUGUUUAUACCCACGGCAGUGCAAGUCCAAGCCAGAGGGAGAGGGAGAGGGCCCGGGGGGUAAUACACGAGACACGGGGAACUAUUCACCGUGUUCAAUAGCAACACCAGCACUUGGAAAUUUUUUUAGCGCAAUAAACGACAGAAUACAACAUCACAACGCAAUAACAAAUUCAACACGACAAUACAAGAAAUUCAAUAUCAACAAUACAACAACAAAUCCAACAGAAUAUCAAUAAAGCAUCAAUACAAGAUCAUCACAACAGAAUAUCAAAAAUUAAAUCAAGUUUCUCAAUAAUAUAGAAAGUUCGGUGUAAUUUAAAAUUUAUAAAAAUAUAAUGUCAAGUUCUCCUCCUAGUCCCUCGAUCACGUCUACCUAUACGUCCCCUACUACGUUCGCGACCACAAUCAACACCAUACUCAUCAAAAGGCUCUAAGACCUCCAACUAGUCGAGAUGCUCGAUAGCAGCACCCUCAAUAACCGGCUGAGUGUCCUGCGUCUCGAUCACCUGUCUGAUCUCGUACUCAAUCAUAGCAGGUGUCGAUAGUAUGUCUGGCCGUGGAGGAGCUGAAGAGGAGGGCUGAUCUGUAUGGAGAGACUGCAACUG
rnacentral:lncRNA from 1 species